rnacentral:rRNA from 1 species
AUGGUCCUUAGCGCGCUGAUGAGUGCAGCUUCAGUGCCGUGGAGCUCCCUGGUAUGCGGCACCCUCGGCUUUGUGCUUCUAUGGCAGGCUAGCCGGUUGGUAGAUUUGCUGUGGUGGCACCCACGGCGGCUUGAGCGUGCCUUGCGCGCCCAGGGUCUUCGCGGCACGUCGUACCGCUUCGUCAUCGGGGAUAUGAUGGACUAUCGGCGUCGGCGCAAGGAGGCGCAAUCGAGGUCGAUGCCGCUGCGCUGCCACAGCAUAGCCCCCCUCGUCGCGCCGCUCCUCUGCGACAUUGUCCGCGAGCAUGGCAAGACGUGUAUGUCUUGGUAUGCUAUGUACCCCAAGGUGACCAUACACGACCCUGACUUGGCCAAGGAAGUGUUGUCCAACAAAUUCGGCCACUUUGAAAAGGUCAGGUUUCCGCCGCUGUCCAGGCUGCUUGCCGCAGGCCUGGCGGAACACGAGGGCGAGAAAUGGGUCAAGCAUAGGAGAAUCCUUAACCCUGCGUUCCAUCUCGAGAAGCUCAAGCUCAUGCUGCCAGCGUUGUCCACAAGCUGCGAAGAGCCUGUCAAUAGAUGGACGCAGUCCCUUGGCUCAGAUGGUACCUAUGAGUUGGAUGUCUUCCCGGAGUUCCGAAGACUCACUGGAGAUGUCAUUUCUCGCACCGCAUUUGGCAGUAACUACCUUGAAGGUGCCAGGGUUUUCCAGCUGCAAUCCGAGCAAGUUGAACGCAUUGCCGGGGCUUGGAAGAUUGGCAUUCCCGGUUACUUGUCCUUGCCCACCAAAAAUAAUAGAAAGAUGCAUCAAAAUAAUAGUGAAAUCGAAUCCAUUCUACAUGGUUUAAUUGGAAAAAGAAUGCAAGCUAUGCAAGAAGGAGAAAAUAUCAAAGAUGACUUGCUCGGCUUGAUGCUUGAGUCAAACAUGAGGACCUCAGAUGACAAUGGCCAAUCCAUCUCAGGAAUGACCAUUAAAGAGGUCAUGGAGGAAUGCAAGUUGUUCUAUCUUGCAGGGACAGAAACAACAUCAAUACUGCUCACAUGGACAAUGAUCGUACUAAGUAUGCAUCCAGAGUGGCAGGACCGUGCCAGGGAGGAGGCCAUUGGCUUAUUUGGAAAAAACAAACUUGAGUAUGAAGGCAUUAACCGACUCAAAACAGUGACCAUGAUUCUUUACGAGGUACUUCGGCUGUACUCGCCUGCUGUCGCAUUCUUCCGUAAAACGUACAAGGAGAUAAAGAUUGGAGGCAUCACAUACCCCGCCGGUGUUCUCAUUGAGCUUCCCCUAUUGUUAAUGAACCAUGACCCGGUUAUAUGGGGAAGAGACGCACAUGAGUUCAAGCCGGAGAGGUUCACCAACGGGAUCUUCCACGCGUCCAAGAAUCCUGGUGCAUUCCUGCCAUUUAGUUGGGGGCCACGUAUCUGCAUUGCCCAACAAUUCGCCCUUCUUGAGGCUAAGAUGGCGUUUUGCAUGAUCCUUCAAUGCUUUGAGUUUGAGCUCGCACCGUCAUACACUCAUGCAGUAAAUAACAUUAGACUGAUGCGCCCACUGCAUGGCGCGCAAAUCAAGCUCACGGCAAUUUGA